CUGUGAGAAGAAGCAGAACCACCAGACGAAAACUGUUUGAUGGAAGAAAAGAAAAGGAAAAAGCAAGAAGAAAAGAAAAAGAAAGAAGCCGCUCAACAAAAGGCCACAGAACAGAUAACCAAAGUGCCAGAUUCUGCCAACCUCCACCCUACCCAUCCUCUUCCCCCCAUCAACCCCAGCGCCGUCCCACCUGUGUCCUCAUCAAGUGGUGAUGGCAAGCGCGCCCCCUCCGGAGGCCAGCCACAGACAGCACCGCAGCACCUCCAGACUCUGCUCCAGCAGCGCUACCCACCCAGGGAGGUCCCCCCUCGCUUCCGCCAGCAGGAGCACAAGCAGCUGUUAAAGAGGGGCCAGCCUCUGCCCUCUGGGACCCUGCCCGUCUCCACUACAGGAUUCCCCGCCACUACUGAACCUGCAGCAGCAUCCACAUCUUCAUCUGCCUCCUGUUCCUCUUCCUCCACACCCUGCCUGCCUACAGGUCAGCCCUAGAGUGUCAGUUGAAACACCAAUACCUCUUGUUUCCUUAUAGUCCUAGUCAGCGAUGUAGGCAAAGAAGGCAUUGGUAUUUACUAUGAAAUAUAUUUUGUAUGGCGCUGUGGUUGGCAUUGUGUGGUAUACCUGUAGAGCAAUGGGAAGGUGCAUCACAGGUGCCGCUGACUGCUGUUUAUUUUCAUUUUGUCUGGCUGGGAAUUAGAAUUGGGAAUAGAUGAGAACGGGGGUAGAAGAGUUAGAGUAAACACAGCUGGCUAUCUCAGCGUGUGUGUAGUUUCUUUUGCUUGGGUCUUUGUAUUUUGAACUAAACCAGGCUCAUUCAUUUCCAAUUAAUAAUUUGUAAUAAAGCAUCAUUUAUUAAUCUUUGAUGAUGUUUA
rnacentral:lncRNA from 1 species